rfam:Valsa mali strain 03-8 chromosome 2, whole genome shotgun sequence.
AUAAUAACAACGCAAUAUUAUUAACAUUCUCGGAACACUUUUUCGAUACGAGGUACUCCUUCGGGACGUACCCAGGACUGUUGAAGUUUUCGGACAGAAUGGAGAUCAGAGUAGCGGACAAUCUUGGGUGCGGUGUAUCCCUCGCCUUCGAGGUAUGGGAUGGGUCGCAAUGAUUGAACGUACAU